GGUAAAGACUGUGGAGUCCUGCCCCAAAGCCACAGAAGUGAAGCCCUUGGAGCCACAGAAGUCAGAGACAAGGUCAUCUCCAGAAUUGACUGAGCCCCUCUGUGACCGUUGCCCAAAGCCCCUGAUCAUCACCAGCAGGCUUCCUGACCCCAAAUUAGGCAAAAACGCCCAACUGGCUACUCACCCUCUAGUGCCCUAACCCAUUACCUAAUGCCACCCUUCCAGCAGGAAGUUUCUGUCUUGAGGCUAUAAAAAAUUGGCUAUUAACCCACAGAAAGUGUCAGCUGUCCCGGACCCACCGCACUGGCAGUGCCUUCAUUAUUUCUACUCCUUGCUUUUAAUAAACUCUCUCCCUUCUGAAAUGCUCUGUGCCUGGAAAUUUCUUUUCCAACCCACGCUUGGACUGCCAUGACAAAGAGAGAGGCUCAGCAUCCCAGGCAGAGGGAACAGCAAGUUCAAAGGUCCAGAGGAGGAACAACAACAAAAAAUUAUUUAUGGACAAGGCAGCGCAGAGAACAUCCUAGAACGUGCGCUUAAGGCCAAGCCUCCCUUGUGCCACGAAGACCAAGACAGGCCGCAUGGGAGGGGUGACGUACUGACCACAUGGCCCCUCACCGAGGUGGCGCCCUCCGAACCUCUGGUUCCCCCAGUGGGGAGAGAGAGCCCAGGUAGACAUUUAGAUUCCCCAGGGUUGUGGGUCCAUUCCUGGGAACCCCCACUUUGGUCUCAGCCUAUGGGAAGUGCAGGAAGAUCUCAGGAGCUUGACCACUAGGAAUAGGACCAAGAUGGCAGAGUGGAGAGGCCCUUGCAAUAACCAGCCCUGGGAUCCUGGCAGACUGAGUUCCUACCUUCAGCGUCCUAGGAAUUGUCAUCUCAGCCAGCAGCUUUACUCAUCUGCAGAGCCAGGAUACCAACAAUAUGACCAGGGAACUCGGAGGGGUGCAGAUCUGCCUGAAGGAGGCCCUCAAAAAGAGGAGCCCUGCUGGGGCCCUGGAACCGAGUCUGGCCCUCUCCUGCUCAAGCUGGGAGGCUAAUUCACAGUCCCACCCACUUUCGAGAGGAGCUCUGGGGCCCAGUGGAUCAGAAAACCUGAGUGGUAACAGCUGUGGGACUGUGUGGCUCAGCGAGGCUGGAGGCCAGGGUCUGGCAGGAGGAGUUGAUGGUCUGCAGAACAAAGCCAGUAGCCCCCGCACAUACUUAAAAAGGAACCCUAUAACACUAUAAGUGGAUAUUUCAACAAAACGUUUUCAAGUCAGGAGAGAAUAGGAUGAUAGAUUCAAAAUACUGGAAGAAAAAGAAAUUGUCAACCAAGAAUUCUGUAUCUGGCAAAGCUGUCUUUCAGAAAUGGAGAGACAGACUGCCCCAAAUGCACAACAGCUGAGGGAGUUAUUACCAGGCCACCUGCCUUACAAGAAAUGUUACAAGGAGUUCUUUAAUGGCAGCAAAAGGACUCUAGUUAACAUUAUUAAAACAUAAGAAGGUAGCAUGAGACUCACUGGGAAUGGUUAAUAUAUGGUCAGAGAGUCUGUGAUACAGUAAAGCUGUGUGUAAUUCACAUACCAAUCGAAUUUAAAAGUUAAAAAGCAAAGGUAGUGAAAAAUAUCACAACUAUAAUAAUCUGUUAUUGGAUACACAAUAUAAAAAUAUUUAAGCUGUAACUUGAAAGGUGAAUGAGAGGAGAAGUAAAAGUGUAACUUAGGAAUGCUAUCCAGUUUCAGUUAUUAGCAGUUUAAAAACAGGUGCUACAAUUUGAAGA
ensembl:lncRNA